rnacentral:lncRNA from 1 species
UUUUGUUUACCUAGGUUUUCCUUAGACUAUGUUUACCUUGUUAAGCAUUGGCCUUUUCAUGGCUUGACUUGCUCUUAUGGCCUUAGCAUUUUUUUUUCCUUUUUGGCUCGAUUUUCCCUUACCGUUUAUUUGCCUUCUUAGGCAUUGACCUUUUCUUGGCUUUCCUUGAGCACCUUUAAAGUUCUAGAUGGUUGUUUCCCUGAAGAUUACAAGUAAGCCAAUUGAUGUACCUUCUAAUUCCAGAUGUCUUUUAUUCUAAAUUUUGCUUUUAGUUUCAAAGUUAGGUUUUGCUUCCUGAUAUCUUUUUUGAUUAUGUGUGAAUCCAUUCUUAAACUUAGAGGUUGUGCACAUUUGAAAAGUAGCAUAGGUUUUCUUUUAUAUUUGCACUAUUUUGAUUAUGAUGAUUUGGUGAUUAGAAUUCCAAUCAUCUAGGAACUUUGCUUGUGAAAUUUUUCUUUUUAAAUAA